AGCCAGAUAGUGCUCUCUGUAUGGGUGUAUAUAUUUCUACCUACAAUAUACACCCAUACAGAGAGCACUAUCUGGCUUGU